UAGGUCGUUUGAUCUUUAGUUUCGGAUACAACCUUAAAUCAUUUUUGAUGUUGCUUUAUUUCUAGAUGCAAAACAAUUGGUUGUUGGAACAUGAAACUUUUGGCUGUGUUUUGACUCUUGAGAUGUUCAUUCGCUAUUUUUCCUAUGAAAUUAUGUUAUCUAGUGGGUUUUCCUAUGAAAUUAUGUUAUCUAGUGGGUUGAUUAAAUUGUUUUAUAAUACCGUUAUGCCUUGUGCUGCUGUUCUGCUGCAACCAACCAAUAAUUAUAUUUUUAUGCUCUG
rnacentral:lncRNA from 1 species